UCCCUGGUGGCUCAGAGGGUAAAGAAUCUGCCUGUAAUGCAGGAGACCCAGGUUCAAUCCCUGGAUUGGGAA
rnacentral:tRNA from 1 species